UAAAUUAAGAAAAUGCUUUCAUGUUUCAAA
rnacentral:piRNA from 1 species